rnacentral:rRNA from 1 species
UGGGGAAUAUUGCACAAUGGGGGAAACCCUGAUGCAGCGACGCCGCGUGGAGGAAGAAGGUCUUCGGAUUGUAAACUCCUGUCCUUGGGGACGAUAAUGACGGUACCCGAGGAGGAAGCACCGGCUAACUACGUGCCAGCAGCCGCGGUAAAACGUAGGGUGCAAGCGUUGUCCGGAAUUACUGGGUGUAAAGGGAGCGCAGGCGGAUUGUCAAGUUGGGAGUGAAACGUACGGGCUCAACCCGUAACCUGCUUUCAAAACUGGCAGUCUUGAGUGGUGUAGAGGUAGGCGGAAUUCCCGGUGUAGCGGUGGAAUGCGUAGAUAUCGGGAGGAACACCAGUGGCGAAGGCGGCCUACUGGGCACUAACUGACGCUGAGGCUCGAAAGCGUGGGGAGCAAACAGGAUUAGAUACC